UGGGGAAUAUUGGACAAUGGGCGCAAGCCUGAUCCAGCCAUGCCGCGUGAGUGACGAAGGCCUUAGGGUUGUAAAGCUCUUUGGCGGGGAAGAUAAUGACGGUACCCGCAGAAUAAGCUCCGGCUAACUUCGUGCCAGCAGCCGCGGUAAUACGAAGGGAGCUAGCGUUGUUCGGAAUCACUGGGCGUAAAGCGCACGUAGGUGGGCAGUUAAGUCAGGGGUGAAAGCCCGAGGCUCAACCUCGGAAUUGCCUCUGAUACUGGCUGUCUAGAGUUCGAGAGAGGUGAGUGGAAUUCCUAGUGUAGAGGUGAAAUUCGUAGAUAUUAGGAAGAACACCGGUGGCGAAGGCGGCUCACUGGCUCGAUACUGACACUGAGGUGCGAAAGCGUGGGGAGCAAACAGGAUUAGAUACCCGCGUAGUCCCUGAGCGGGCUGGCAAGGCGCAU
rnacentral:rRNA from 1 species